AUUACUCCUACGGGAGGCAGCAGUGGGGAAUCUUGCGCAAUGGGCGAAAGCCUGACGCAGCAACGCCGCGUGGGGGAUGAAGGCUCUCGGGUUGUAAACCCCUUUCAGCAGGGACGAAACUGACGGUACCUGCAGAAGAAGCACCGGCUAACUACGUGCCAGCAGCCGCGGUAAUAAU
rnacentral:rRNA from 1 species